CAUAGUCCGUAGUUUGAUGCGCUAUGGAACGCAGGACGUCGAGCGCCACGAUCUGUCGAGCCUGCGUAUGACCGCGUCGGGCGGCGAGGCAUGGACCAACGCGCCGUGGCAAUGGUUCUUCGAGCAUGUCUGCAAGAGAAAGCUUCCAAUCAUCAACAUUUCCGGCGGCACCGAGGUUGGAGGUUGCAUCUUCACGGGGACGCCGAACCAUCCGAUGAACCCCGGUUCGUUCUCCCGUCCGGCGCUCGGUGUCGGCGCGGACAUCGUGGAC
rnacentral:misc_RNA from 1 species